rnacentral:rRNA from 1 species
GUGGGGAAUAUUGGGCAAUGGGGGAAACCCUGACCCAGCAACGCCGCGUGAAGGAAGAAGGUCUUCGGAUCGUAAACUUCUAUCCUUGGUGAAGAUAAUGACGGUAGCCGAGAAGGAAGCCCCGGCUAACUACGUGCCAGCAGCCGCGGUAAUACGUAGGGGGCAAGCGUUGUCCGGAAUGAUUGGGCGUAAAGGGCGCGUAGGCGGCCUGGUAAGUCUGGAGUGAAAGUCCUGCUUUUAAGGUAGGAAUUGCUUUGGAUACUGUCGGGCUUGAGUGCAGGAGAGGUAAGUGGAAUUCCCGGUGUAGCGGUGAAAUGCGUAGAGAUCGGGAGGAACACCAGUGGCGAAGGCGACUUACUGGACUGUAACUGACGCUGAGGCGCGAAAGUGUGGGGAGCAAACAGGAUUAGAAACCCUAGUAGUCC